rnacentral:lncRNA from 1 species
GCCUGAAUGCGAUGUGGAAAACUUUGUUGUCUAUUGGGAAACACUCCUUACAGAAAAAGAAUAAAAUCCUAAUUUUAAAGAUUUUUUCAUGGGUUUAUUCGAGACAGAGAUAGGUUCCCAUCCAGUUCCCUGCGAUGUUGAAGGAAAGAUAUUGUAUAAAAGAUAUACUACCUGCAGGAAGACCUUCAUGGAAGAAGUAUCAGUCCAAAAGGAAAAAUCUUUUCUUUCUUCCUCACCAGCUUCUUUGAGUUAUGAAGGGUUCGCUAAGAAAUAUUUGCUUCUGAUUCAGUUAUCUUUCCUUUUCAGCCCUGGAUAUUUUCCUGCAUCUCAUCUUCAACAGAAAACUGCCUGUCUGAAUGCUGCUUGUUGCUAAUUUACAGUUGUCACUCCUGAGUCUGCCCAGGAUUCCAUACUGCCUGGCUGGUCUUCAAUGCUCCUCUCACUUUGGAAGAAAGAUGAUGCCUCCCACCUCUCUGGUUGGUGCCAGGGCUUUUUGGCUGCAGGCUUCUCUGGGAGGCAAUUGUUCUCAGUUCGGGGCUGUUGAACAACACUCCUUAGGAAAAACUCCUCUCCUCUUUGCUCUCAGAGACCUGCACUCCUCUCAGAGUUGUAGCACAACUUCAAAAGGGAGGGUUAGGAAUGGAUAUCCUCCUCUAGGAUACUACAGCACACCAAAAGAGGUGAAUUUGAGUCACCUGAGACCAGAAAAUGUGUUGAAUACAGAUCUCCAACUUCCUGAGUAAAUGCUCUAACCACACAGCUCCUAUAUAACUGAUCAGUGUUUCC